CGGCGCACAUAAGACAUGCAAGUCGAACGGACUUAACCAUUAUUUUACUAUUGGAGCGGUUAGUGGCGGACUGGUGAGUAACACGUAAGCAACCUGCCUAUCAGAGGGGAACAACAGUUAGAAAUGACUGCUAAUACCGCAUAUGCCUUAAUUACCACAUGGUAAUAGAGGGAAAGGAGUAAUCCGCUGAUAGAUGGGCUUGCGUCUGAUUAGAUAGUUGGUAAGGUAACGGCUUACCAAGUCGACGAUCAGUAGCCGGACUGAGAGGUUGAACGGCCACAUUGGGACUGAGAUACGGCCCAGACUCCUACGGGAGGCAGCAGUCGGGAAUAUUGCGCAAUGGAGGAAACUCUGACGCAGUGACGCCGCGUGCAGGAAGAAGGUUUUCGGAUUGUAAACUGCUUUAGACAGGGAAGAAACAAGACAGUACCUGUAGAAUAAGCUCCGGCUAACUACGUGCCAGCAGCCGCGGUAAUACGUAGGGAGCAAGCGUUAUCCGGAUUUAUUGGGUGUAAAGGGUGCGUAGACGGGAAUGCAAGUUGGUUGUGAAAUCCCUCGGCUCAACCGAGGAAUUGCAACCAAAACUAUAUUUCUUGAGUGCUGGAGAGGAAAGUGGAAUUCCUAGUGUAGCGGUGAAAUGCGUAGAUAUUAGGAGGAACACCAGUGGCGAAGGCGACUUUCUGGACAGUAACUGACGUUGAGGCACGAAAGUGUGGGGAGCAAACAGGAUUAGAUACCCUGGUAGUCCACACCGUAAACGAUGGAUACUAGGUGUAGGGGAUGAAUAAUCUUCUGUGCCGUCGCAAACGCAGUAAGUAUCCCACCUGGGGAGUACGGCCGCAAGGUUGAAACUCAAAGGAAUUGACGGGGGCCCGCACAAGCAGUGGAGUAUGUGGUUUAAUUCGACGCAACGCGAAGAACCUUACCAGGGCUUGACAUAUACAUGAAAAUCUAAGAGAUUAGAUCCCUCUUCGGAGCAUCGGAGACAGGUGGUGCAUGGUUGUCGUCAGCUCGUGUCGUGAGAUGUUGGGUUAAGUCCCGCAACGAGCGCAACCCUUAUUCUUAGUAGCCAGCAGGGAAAGCUGGGCACUCUAAGGAGACUGCCGGGGAUAACCCGGAGGAAGGUGGGGAUGACGUCAAAUCAUCAUGCCCCUUAUGAUCUGGGCUACACACGUGCUACAAUGGCGUAACAAAGGGAAGCGAGCCUGCGAGGGUGAGCAAAUCCCAAAAAUAACGUCCCAGUUCGGACUGUAGUCUGCAACCCGACUACACGAAGCUGGAAUCGCUAGUAAUCGCGAAUCAGAAUGUCGCGGUGAAUACGUUCCCGGGUCUUGUACACACCGCCCGUCACACCAUGGGAGUCGGAAAUGCCCGAAGUCUGUGACUCAACCGUAAGGAGAGAGCAGCCGAAGGUAGGUCUGAUAACUGG
rnacentral:rRNA from 1 species